AACGAACGCUGGCGGCAUGCCUAACACAUGCAAGUCGAACGAGACCUUCGGGCCUAGUUGCGCACGUGUGCGUAACGCGUGGGAACCUGCCCUUAGGUUCGGAAUAACUCCCCGUAAGGGGUGCUAAUACCGGUUAAUGUCUUCGGACCAAAGAUUUAUCGCCUUUGGAUGGGCGCGCGUUGGAUUAGCUAGUUGGUAGGGUAAAAGCAUACCAAGGCGACGAUCCAUAGCUGGUCUGAUAGGAUGAUCAGCCACACUGGGACUGAGACACGGCCCAGACUCGGACGGGAGGGAGCAGUAGGGAAUAUUGGACAAUGAGCGAAAGCCUGAUCCAGCAGUGCCGCGUAAGAGAUGAAGGCGUUAGGGUUGUAAAGCUGCUUUACCCGAGAUGAUAAUGACAGUACCGGGAGAAUAAGCUCCGGCUAACUCCGUG
rnacentral:rRNA from 1 species